AAGAUAGAGGUUGCAUGAUUCAUCAGUACCUCGCCGGAUGCUUCGGGAGCAGGAGAAAGCGCGGGAAAGGGGAUCGUGCCGAAAGGGUAUGAUGCCGCAGAUUAUAUCCUUGGGCAUAGGGUGAAGAACCAUAUGACUGUCAUCAGUGAGGAUGGAGCGCUAUCUGA
rnacentral:ncRNA from 1 species